rnacentral:rRNA from 1 species
GAUGAACGCUGGCGGCGUGCCUAAUACAUGCAAGUCGAGCGAACGGACGAGAAGCUUGCUUCUCUGAUGUUAGCGGCGGACGGGUGAGUAACACGUGGAUAACCUACCUAUAAGACUGGGAUAACUUCGGGAAACCGUAGCUAAUACCGGAUAAUAUUUUGAACCGCAUGGUUCAAAAGUGAAAGACGGUCUUGCUGUCACUUAUAGCUGGAUCCGCGCUGCAUUAGCUAGUUGUUAAGGUAACGGCUUACCAAGGCAACGAUGCAUAACCGACCUGAGAGGGUGAUCGGCCACACUGGAACUGAGACACGGUCCAGAGUCCUACGGGAGGCAGCAGUAGGGAAUCGUCCGCAAUGGGCGAAAGCCUGACGGAGCAACGGCGCGUGAGUUACGACGGUCUUCGGAGCGUAAAACUGUGUUAUUAGGGAAGAACAUAUGUGUAAUGAACUGUGCACAGCUUGACGGUACCGAAUCAGAAAGCCACGGCUAACUACGUG